GGUACUACACAUUUACUGGCCUUCCGGUCAAGAAAAUGGCCCGGAAAGACCUUGCAGAGAUAUGGAGGCUUCAAGCGGAGCAAACAUGAAUAGCCAAGCAUCGACAGCACGAGUUUGACCGCCUGCAGAGCGAGAAAGUGCUUUGCCGGGUGUGCUUUGAGCGUGACAUAGCCGUGGUG